AAGUAUCCUGCAGUGAAUACAUAGCUGCUGGAAGCGAACCCGGGGAACUGAAACAUCUCAGUACCCGGAGGAAAGGACAUCAACCGAGACUCCGUUAGUAGUGACGAGCGAACGCGGACCAGGCCAGUGGCUUCAAAAAAAUAACUAAAACAACAUGGAAAGGUUGACCAUAGAAGGUGAUAGUCCCGUAUAGGUAAAAAGUUUGAAGUCCUUGAGUAAGGCGGGACACGUGAAAUCCUGUUUGAACAUAGGGGGACCACCCUCUAAGCCUAAGUACUCUCUAGUGACCGAUAGUGAACAAGUACCGUGAGGGAAAGGUGAAAAGUACCCCGGGAGGGGAGUGAAAUAGUACCUGAAACCGCGCGCCUACAAGCCGUGGGAGCGUCGUCGCACCUCGAGUGCGGCCGUGACCGCGUGCCUUUUGAAGAAUGAGCCUGCGAGUUAGCGGUAUGUGGCGAGGUUAACCCGGGUGGGGUAGCCGUAG
rnacentral:rRNA from 1 species